rnacentral:rRNA from 1 species
UCCGUAGGUGAACCUGCGGGAGGGUCAUUAAUGAAUUGCUAAGGGCGUUCUUUUUAGAAGUCCGACCCAACUUCAUUCUCACCCACACUGUGCACACACACACACACUUUACACCCACACCUUUAAAACUCGUAUAAAAAGUAGUACAAGAAUGUAAAAGUCUCUUAAUUGAGCAUAAACAAAUAAAUAAAACUUUCAGCAACGGGUCUCUUGGCUCUCGCAUCGAUGAAGAACGCAGCGAAAUGCGAUACGUAAUGUGAAUUGCAGAAUUCAGUGAAUCAUCGAAUCUUUGAACGCACCUUGCACUCUUUGGUAUUCCGAAGAGUAUGUCUGUUUGAGUGUCAUGAAACUCUCAACCCCCCCGUUUUGUAAUGAGACGGGCGUCUUGGGCUUGGGUUAUGGCCGCCUGCUGGCAUUGAUUUGCCGGCUCGGCUGAAAUACAUGAGCAACCCAGUGUUUUGAAAGACUGCUUUCUUAACGGCUUGACUCGGCGUAAUAGUUUAUUUCGCUGAGGGCGUUUUGAAUACGCGACUUUUCAAUCAUCAAGUGGGUGCUUCUAAUGCGCGGGGUCCCUUCUUUAAGGCCCCACACCUUUUAAGCUUUAGACCUCAAAUCAGUCAGGGCUACCCGCUGAACUUAAGCAUAUCAAUAAGCGGGGGGAAAG